GCCAAACUCACUCUGGAACAUUGUUCACUUGUCAUUACUCAAACUAAAAACACAGAAAUCAUGUCAUGCCACGUGUCCUCCUGUCCUCCUGUUCUGACAGCACGUGGACAGCACGUUUGUUUUGAUGGGAACAUUGGGGUAUUUGCAGCUCAUUAGCAGGCAGGGCCGGGGCACCUAAAGAGUGACGGCCCACUGUCGCUAUUGGAUUAUGGGAGGGAUUUUCAACUUGCAUUAAUCUGUGAGGCCACAGACAGUCCAACAGCCUCUCAAUCCCAGCGCUCUUUGUGCAUAAGAGCUCACACACGCUCUCACAUAUAUGCAACUCUCCGAUUAAAGUGAGAGAAGCCGCAAGGACCCAGACUAAGACUUGGAAAAUGAACCUCUUCUGCUUUACUUUGGAUGGUUCUACAGACAGCCUGUACGAGCCGGCCCAGAUUGGCCAGAACACUCAAGAUUUAUUACCCAGAAGGCUGCCUAGUCCCAACUCUGUGAAGAACAUAAGUGUGUGGAGUGGAUCUGAGCCCUGCAUCGCCACGGUGGGUUCAUCCGCACAUGCCUAGAAAUGCAAGGGAAAUCACAUGGUCUUUCAUGAGACAUCGAGCUGCAGUUAUGUCUAAUGUGACAUUGACGAAAAUAUUAAUAUGGAAAAGUGCUGCCUCCUGUAUAACUGCUGAUUAAUCUGUGAGUGACGUGUGUAGGGUACAGCAGGUCGCACUCAUUAGGAAAUUACCAAAAUCCCAGCAGGACUUUUUAUCCAGACGAGAUGCCGCAUGAGGUCAUGGACAAAUAAUGUAUCAGAUAUCAUGAUGCACUAAAUAUAUUCUAUUCUGUAUUUUAUUCUAGAAGCUUCCAGAGACUCACACAAGUAAGACUCAAGAAAGUAAGAUUUUGGAAAAGGCAAAGAGAAAGUAAGUUCUGGAUCUUUUGGUCUGUUAAUGACACUUCAAGACCUGUAUAACAUUUUAUUUAUGUUAAUACAUUUCUCAAAAUUACACCUUUUAUGAGAAUGAUAACAUAAAUGUAUACUGUCAGGGUGGAUUAUUUGCAUCAGGAUGCCCAUUAGAUCAUGAUGUGCCAUAUGCUGUGUUUUAUGAGAGAAUGAGAGAGCUGGAUUAGGAUUAUAUUAAUUGGGACAAGUGUAAGGGAUUUAGUUACUGUUCUAACUCACCUGUUUAAACCAAUGCCAGACUUGUCCCUGCUUAAGCAUCAUAUAGGCUACUGGUAAUGAGUUGCUUGCUCAGUUUUGACCAGAACAAGUCAUUUUAUAGUUACAGAAAAAGAAAAGGAAGCAGAAGAAAAUGAUGUUUCUCCCACUGGCAGCCUUCCCAAACUUGAAAUUUUAUGGCUUUAUAAGUUAUGGUUUUGUUCGUUGACCACAAAAAAAGAUAUGUAAGGUUGGAUUUAACUGGCGUGCAAUCUUAAAAUUAAACCUUGCAUUCUCCAUAGCAACGGUGAUGUUCAUUCAAUUUUAUUGCGUGUAGCCUAUAGGCCACUACAACAGCGAGUUAUAAACUUGAUGAAUAAAAUGCAUUUAUAAAAAAUAUUUUAUGAAUGAAAGAUUGAGGGAUUAAAAGAAGCAAACAAUAAAAAAAAGAGCGUAUAGCUUUGCUGUUAUUAUAAAAACAGUCACAUUUUAUAUUGUUUGAAAGCUACAAACAAAAUUAGCUUGUUGGAAAAUUUACAUUGUGUGUGAAAUUUAACUAAUAGUAUUGUAAUAUUAAUUAAAUAUGUCUCAAAUUUAAUAUUAUCACACUUUAAAUAACCAUUAUAUACUAUAACAUUAAAAAACUGUCAACUGUAAACAUGUACACAUCCUACCACAGGCCUUUUUUCACAGUUUUAGAAGUUUGUUGUUGGAAUGUUAUGUUUAUAUAUUGUUUUAUCUUAUGCAGUUUCUCUUUCACAUAACAGGUCCCAAUUACUAUCCACAUCAGAAGAUGAGACUACAGGUUUGUCUGUUUGUUUUGAAUGAAUACCCAGAAUUCCUUGCUGAUUUCCCUUACAGUUCAUUAAAAACUUAAACCACAUGCCUAAUACUACAGUACUAAUAAUACUGCUAGUCACUGAACAAAGUGUCAUAGAGUUUAAAGGUCUGUCAAAUUCAUAAUCCUAGGGUCAGUUAUUCCACCCAGGAAUUCAUCUGUCUGGAACAGUAGCAUUAUGCUUUAUGAGUCUGAUUUUUUAUUUUUUUUUGCCUUGUUUCAGGAUUAAGGAUUGAACUUUAUUGUAUUUGACCCACUGAAUUCCAGCAAAGCUCUUCUGCCUUGUAUUUUUGAGCACUGUUACCCUAAUGCCAGUCCUGCUGACCUACUUGGCGGCGGCGCCUCUUCAUUUGCCUUCCAUGUUUUGCUUUUAAAAUAACCCGUUAUUAUCUCUGACAGAUCAUACAGAUUCUGAUGCCCACUGGCCGUCCACAAGGAAAAAAGAUGGCUUGGUACACAGCAAGAACCAUUCGAACACAGGUAACAGGUCUAUAGAGACUAUGGUGUGUGUGUUUUGUUAGUCGAGGAAGUGUGGUGGGCUCGAGGUCAGAGAGAGCUGCGUGUGUCAAACAGUCUUAGUGGAUUAGAUCAGUGACGACACAAAGCAAUUCCAAAAGCCCAUGUGAAACAGAGGAUUUGAUUUGGGCUCAGACUGAUUCACUGACAGUCAGAUAAAAAGUGAUCAGGGUCACACUCUCUUCCCCAGACUUCCAAAGUUUCCUUUAAAUUUCCAUAAAGUCUGAAUAGUCAUAAAUCCAGGGCUUGAGCUAAAUUGUGCUGUAUUUUAAUCUAGAGACGGUCAAAGAUCACCACCGAUCAAAACUCAGUAGAGAAGAGAAAGAAGAGCGGAUGAAUUCAGAGAAGACAGUUAAAAAUCCUUCAGUCCAGGUAAAUCACUGCAGCAACACAGAAAAAAAUACUGUGCAAUAUUACUUUAAUGAGACAAACACAUCAAACCCUGCCAUCCAUGAAAUGUGCCUCUUUAUAAUACAGGAUACAUUUCUCAGUGAUUAAAUUCUCCAUUAAUCUAAUGUGAUUCAGUCAUCUGUGUAUUAUUGCACAUUAUCAUUCUUUCAAUGUCUGCCCUGAGAUCUUUACAAUAAGACAAUAUCACUUUCAAACUGAUUCAGCAUUGGUGUUUUUAUUCACAGGGUGUGAAUUUUGAAGCCUGGAAUCCCAAUAGAGAAAACUCUGAAUGCAGACCGCAAGACUUGGUGAGUUUCUUCUCUGAUGACUGCCACAACUUUUCAAUAAUUAUUGCACUUUAUUGUGGACAAAACGCCUGUUAUGAUUUUGUAUUGAAUACUGCCAUUCACUUAUGGCUCAGUCCAGAUUUUUCAUAUUUCCCAUACUAAUUUUGAGGGAAAAUAUAAAAAAUUAUGCAUAAAUGAAUGAAUUUUUUUCCUGAUAAUCAAUCAAAUAGAAACAAAAAUAAAUAAAAAAAUAAAAAUAAAAAGUAGGAUGAUAUUACAACUCUAUAUAAUUUAGUUUAAAAUAAAAAUAAAACACUAAAAAGUCAAAUGUAAUCAUUUUAAAUUGAUCAAUUGUAAAAUUCUGUGCUAUUUUAAAUGUUACAAAAACAUUAAAACUCAAAUUAAUUUUAAAUUUAGGCAUAAAAUACUGUACAGAAUUUGAAUUUUGAGGUUUUCUAAAGAUUACUUUUUGUGACAAUGAAUUAUUAUUCGUAAGGAUUAAAUUUGGCUAAUCUAAAUGUAAAAAUAGAGAAAUUAAGCACAUACAAUUAAAUGGUCAAUACAAAGACUGAUAAUCAGUAUGGUACUGAUAUAAUGUGCAUCCAUUUAAAGUACUUAAUAAACAAACACAAAGACAUUAAGGAUAUAUAGAAAUGUGUGGGUACUUUUAAAAAAUAUUUAUUUUAGUUAUUUAUUUUAUUUUAUUUCUAAGCCUGCUUAUGGCAUCUGACAUUGUGUGAAGUAAGGAUAAAAAGAAGAAAAUAAAAAAGUGUCUUAGGCUUUUCAUGGAAAUAGAGGUCAGAUUAUGAGGAACUCAAAUGACAUGUCAGUGUAAGAAUGCACAUCUGUGAAAGGCUUCUAAUAACGUCAGAGCCUGAGGGCAGAGCUUUAGUAUUACCCAGAAUCCCCAGCAGUUUGUAGAAUCUCAUGUGUGUUGAUCUUGAGGCAGAUUGAAGCAUCUCUGAUCUCCCUCACGUGCUGUAAUUACCCAAUGCCUCUUCAUUUCAGACCAGGAGGUCAGAGAGUGAGGAUGAGGUGCAAGGUAAGCUGAAGAAGAUCCAGAAACUGGUGGGAGGGAAAAAGGGGGGUCAAGGUGCCACAGAGGAGUCGAGAAACAACACAGAACCUGGUGGUGAGAACCUAAAUAAUAAUUUCCUCACGUGAACAAAAUAAAACAAAAAGCUGCAUCAUCCAUAUUGGUUCCUUUUUACGUCAUUUGACAGAAUCCAAUGGAAAAGGCCACAGUCCUGUCAUAACCUGCAUCAAUCUGACCAAAAAAGCUGAGAAGAAGCACACAAGGGCAUCCACACGGCAAUCCCAGCAGCC
rnacentral:lncRNA from 1 species